ACCUCAAAGUAUAUUAAAGAUAAAGUUUUUACAAAUGUAAAUAAUCUUAAAUAUGUAAUUAUUAUGUAAUUUUAACUUCUCUUAAUUUAUGUAAUACUGGUGUAAUUUAACCUUUUUGGGUUACAAAGUCAGUAAUCAUUAAAUCAAUUCAAUUCCAUUAUAAAUAAUCCAUCUCUAGAAAAUAAUUUAGUUUUUGCUGAAUUAUGCAUCGUGACUUAUUUGAGGGUGGGAAGGGGGGUAUGGAUCACGUUUCACAACGAAAAAAAGCCGUUUCACGAUUCACAUGUCUUAAAAAAGCAAGUUCACGAAAAACUAGAUUCUAAUAAAAAUAAUAUAAUAAUAGGUUUAUUAAGAGUAUAUUUAAGCAUGGUACAGUAUCUACGCUUUAAGUUACGCAUUCACGGCUCACGAAAAUACCCUUUCCCACCCUCUUAUUUCAGCACACAGAAAUCAUCCUGCCUCAUAUCUCGUCCUGGCAAAGCGGGAUCAUAUAAGCACCCCUUAUUCAGCAAAUUGCGCAUGCUACCUUUCAUCCCUUGGGGCGAGGCAGCAUUUUCCUUUCGAUAGUACCUUCUAGUUUAUCAAUGAUCUCCCUUCUCAACUUUCGCACUCAGAAUCCACAAUGUUUGCAGAUGACACCACCGUACUAACAGAAGGUUCUUCCAACAUGGACUCAACAAAACCGAAUCAGGUGACUAAUAUGUCCAAUACAUUGAAAACCAAGACCAUGGCCAUAUGCUCAUCCAUUCUCCCCAACAACUUAAGAAUACUUCAGAUCGUUCUCCCUGGUGAAGCAAGCAAAAGUGUUGGGUUUAACGCUUGACGAGUUUUUAAUUUCGACCAAGCAUAUUGACAACUUGUGUUCAACAAUUAAUAGUAGGAUUGCGCAGGAUUAAACCCUUUUUAACUAAGGACUGUGCUGUUCGUUUCUAUAGCUCCUGAGUCGUGUAUUAAUUCAAGUCUUAUCUACUGUUUUGUAACUUUGGGAAAUUGCUCAAAAACACUUUUACUUCGCAUUCUUCGACUGCAAAAGCGUGCAGCGCGUAUUAUUCUAGACGCGGACUUUUCUACUCCUUCUGUUCUUCUUUUUUCCCAGAUUCGAAUAAUCGCAAUCUUUGAUCUUGUUAAAUUUAGGAAGCUUCUCUUACUAAUUAACAUUCUCACAAAUCCCAGGGCUCCAUCUUCAUUUAAGCAAAUGUUUAAAUUCUUAUCUUCUAUUCGACAACGGGCUCUGACUAUAGAGCUUGGCAGCUUGCGCAUACGACCUUCAUUCUUCAACCCCCUUCCCGCGUACAGGCGGCGUACUGACUCUGGCAAACGAACAUUUCUGUACAGUGCUUUCAUUCGUUUUACACGAAGACCAUCAGGCCAUGGCUAUCAGUGGCGUGCUGGCAGGGGGGGUCGGGGGGCCACGGCCCCCCCAGCUGGCAAUUUUUGAGGGGCGCAAAAAUGAAAAGGGGGCGCCGAUCCCGCGCCGAAUUUUGAA